GAUUGAACGCUGGCGGCAUGCCUUACACAUGCAAGUCGAACGGCAGCGCGGACUUCGGUCUGGCGGCGAGUGGCGAACGGGUGAGUAACAUAUCGGAACGUGCCCUGGAGUGGGGGAUAACUAGUCGAAAGAUUAGCUAAUACCGCAUACGUCCUGAGGGAGAAAGUGGGGGAUCGCAAGACCUCAUGCUCGUGGAGCGGCCGAUAUCUGAUUAGCUAGUUGGUGGGGUAAAGGCCUACCAAGGCGACGAUCAGUAGCUGGUCUGAGAGGACGACCAGCCACACUGGGACUGAGACACGGCCCAGACUCCUACGGGAGGCAGCAGUGGGGAAUUUUGGACAAUGGGGGCAACCCUGAUCCAGCAAUGCCGCGUGUGUGAAGAAGGCCUUCGGGUUGUAAAGCACUUUUGUCCGGAAAGAAAUCGUCCUGGCUAAUAYCUGGGAUGGAUGACGGUACUGGAAGAAUAAGCACCGGCUAACUAC
rnacentral:rRNA from 1 species